CUUCUGAACAUUGAUGAAAGGAGGCCUCUGUUUGACAGCCUCGGGACUGAAGGACUGAAGAAGACACUGAUCCCAUCUCUCUUCAAUGAAAGGCUUUCACAAGUGAGCCUGUUCCAAGUUUUUUUCAAAUGUGACGUUCAUGUACUGACAGGCGCUGGGAAAUGCUAGGAAACCAAUCUAAAAUUGCUCAAGGUUUCUACCAAGAUUCUACAAUGGAGUUUCUCUUUCCCUAUACAACAACCACAUCCUUGCCCAACGUACCUCCUCAUAAGUUCAUUUUGAAAGGAGAAAGAUUGAAGCUGAAGGUGGUGAAGCAAUUACCCAUCCAGUAUCAUUCUUCUCUGCCUGAGUCCGGACAAA